rnacentral:misc_RNA from 1 species
UUUCCGUAGGUGAACCUGCGGAAGGAUCAUUAUUGUAUAACCGAGGUGCGAGGGCUGUCGCUGACCCGAAAGGUCGUGCACGCCCGAGUGCCCUCACACACAUCCAUCUCACCCCUAUGUGCACAGCCGCGUGGGUCCCCCUUUGGCUUGUUCGGAGGGGGGCUUACGUUGUCACACAAACUUUGUAUGCAGUGUAGAAUGUAUUUUUUGUUUUUGCGAUCACGCAAUCAAUACAACUUUCAACAACGGAUCUCUUGGCUCUG